AUGUCUUCUCGGCCUUUUGGCUAAGAUCAAGUGUUGAGUUGCACUUGUCCUGUGAUUUCUUUUUUUUUUAUUUUUAUUUUUUAUUUUUUGACAGGCAGAGUGGACAGUGAGAGAGAGACAGAGAGAAAGGUCUUCCUUUUGCCGUUGGUUCACCCUCCAAUGGCCGCCGCGGUAGGCGCGCUGCGGCCGGCCCACCGCGC